ACCCCAAACCGACACAGGUGGUCAGGUAGAGAAUACCAAGGCGCUUGAGAGAACUCGGGUGAAGGAACUAGGCAAAAUGGUGCCGUAACUUCGGGAGAAGGCACGCUGAUAUGUAGGUGAAGUCCCUCGCGGAUGGAGCUGAAAUCAGUCGAAGAUACCAGCUGGCUGCAACUGUUUAUUAAAAACACAGCACUGUGCAAACACGAAAGUGGACGUAUACGGUGUGACGCCUGCCCGGUGCCGGAAGGUUAAUUGAUGGGGUCAGCGCAAGCGAAGCUCUUGAUCGAAGCCCCGGUAAACGGCGGCCGUAACUAUAACGGUCCUAAGGUAGCGAAAUUCCUUGUCGGGUAAGUUCCGACCUGCACGAAUGGCGUAAUGAUGGCCAGGCUGUCUCCACCCGAGACUCAGUGAAAUUGAACUCGCUGUGAAGAUGCAGUGUACCCGCGGCAAGACGGAAAGACCCCGUGAACCUUUACUAUAGCUUGACACUGAACAUUGAGCCUUGAUGUGUAGGAUAGGUGGGAGGCUUUGAAGUGUGGACGCCAGUCUGCAUGGAGCCGACCUUGAAAUACCACCCUUUAAUGUUUGAUGUUCUAACGUGGACCCGUGAUCCGGGUUGCGGACAGUGUCUGGUGGGUAGUUUGACUGGGGCGGUCUCCUCCUAAAGAGUAACGGAGGAGCACGAAGGUUGGCUAAUCCUGGUCGGACAUCAGGAGGUUAGUGCAAUGGCAUAAGCCAGCUUGACUGCGAGCGUGACGGCGCGAGCAGGUGCGAAAGCAGGUCAUAGUGAUCCGGUGGUUCUGAAUGGAAGGGCCAUCGCUCAACGGAUAAAAGGUACUCCGGGGAUAACAGGCUGAUACCGCCCAAGAGUUCAUAUCGACGGCGGUGUUUGGCACCUCGAUGUCGGCUCAUCACAUCCUGGGGCUGAAGUAGGUCCCAAGGGUAUGGCUGUUCGCCAUUUAAAGUGGUACGCGAGCUGGGUUUAGAACGUCGUGAGACAGUUCGGUCCCUAUCUGCCGUGGGCGCUGGAGAACUGAGGGGGGCUGCUCCUAGUACGAGAGGACCGGAGUGGACGCAUCACUGGUGUUCGGGUUGUCAUGCCAAUGGCACUGCCCGGUAGCUAAAUGCGGAAGAGAUAAGUGCUGAAAGCAUCUAAGCACGAAACUUGCCCCGAGAUGAGUUCUCCCUGACCCUUUAAGGGUCCUGAAGGAACGUUGAAGACGACGACGUUGAUAGGCCGGGUGUGUAAGCGCAGCGAUGCGUUGAGCUAACCGGUACUAAUGAACCGUGAGGCUUAACCUU
rnacentral:rRNA from 1 species